AAAUCUGGCUGGAUUGAAGAUAUAUUGUGCAUACAAAUUUAAAACGUUUUCUAUUUCUCCCUGUUUAAUAUCACGAUUUGCUGAAAAUUAUAAAAUAAAUACUUACUAAGUAAAUGAAGUGUUUAGGGUUUCAACACAUUUAUUUAAAAAAAAAAAUUGAUAUAUUAAUCCAUGUCAAGUCAAGGGGUCAAUGUCAAUCUGCCCGCAUCGAUAGCCCAAAAAUUCAAAGCCAAAAGAGGUGGAGAAAGAUGGAGGUUGGGCAACCGCAGAUGAGGUUCGAAUCGCCGAUAAAAAGGUUAACAGAUCAUCGCAUCCAGCUUUCAAUCCCCACUCACACAUAUGGCCAGUGUUAACGAGGCGUCAGCGUACACAAAUGCUACAUAAAACAUAUAAAAGCAAUAACAUAAAAAGACCAAAAAACAAAACCCAUUUAAAAAUACAUCCCAGCUGGAUUCAAUAUUUAUGUGUCUCCUCCUCCGAAAAUUUCUACAAAAAUAAACAAAGAAAAGCCAUAAACAA